GAUGAACGCUGGCGGCGUGCCUAAUACAUGCAAGUCGAGCGAACAGACGAGGAGCUUGCUCCUCUGACGUUAGCGGCGGACGGGUGAGUAACACGUGGAUAACCUACCUAUAAGACCGGGAUAACUUCGGGAAACCGGAGCUAAUACCGGAUAAUAUAUUGAACCGCAUGGUUCAAUAGUGAAAGACGGUUUUGCUGUCACUUAUAGAUGGAUCCGCGCCGCAUUAGCUAGUUGGUAAGGUAACGGCUUACCAAGGCGACGAUGCGUAGCCGACCUGAGAGGGUGAUCGGCCACACUGGAACUGAGACACGGUCCAGACUCCUACGGGAGGCAGCAGUAGGGAAUCUUCCGCAAUGGGCGAAAGCCUGACGGAGCAACGCCGCGUGAGUGAUGAAGGUCUUCGGAUCGUAAAACUCUGUUAUUAGGGAAGAACAAAUGUGUAAGUAACGAUGCACGUCUUGACGGUACCUAAUCAGAAAGCCACGGCUAACUACGU
rnacentral:rRNA from 1 species